GGGGCUGAUUCAGGAUUCGACGGGAAUUUUGCAGUCUAAGGUGCAUGCCGUGGGGCGGUUGGCCACGUAAAAAGCCGCAAAAAAAUAGUCGCAAAUAACGACGUAUUUAAUCCUGCUGACGAACAAGCUCUGCUUGCAGCUUAAAAGUAGCUUAAUAACCUACUAGGAUGUUCUCACCCUAGCUUUCGCACGUAAGACGGGGAAUAAUGAGGAUUAAAACCCAAACGCGCUAGCCCGGAUUCUCCUGCCUGAGAGAUGAACGGCGAAGUUUAAUUCAGGCUAGUCAUUCAUUAGCGUGUCGGUUCGCAGAUGGGUGGCGAAAUUAAAGAUCGACUAAGCAUGUAGUACCAAGGAUGAAUGGUUUUCGGACGCGGGUUCAAAUCCCGCCAGCUCCACCA
rnacentral:tmRNA from 1 species